AUUGAACGCUGGCGGAAUGCUUUACACAUGCAAGUCGAGCGGCAGCGCGGGGCAACCUGGCGGCGAGCGGCGAACGGGUGAGUAACACAUCGGAACGUGCCCAGACGUGGGGGAUAGCCCGGCGAAAGCCGGAUUAAUACCGCAUGUGAUCUGAGGAUGAAAGUGGGGGACCGCAAGGCCUCACGCGUUUGGAGCGGCCGAUGGCAGAUUAGGUAGUUGGUGGGGUAAAGGCUUACCAAGCCUGCGAUCUGUAGCUGGUCUGAGAGGAUGAUCAGCCACACUGGGACUGAGACACGGCCCAGACUCCUACGGGAGGCAGCAGUGGGGAAUUUUGGACAAUGGGCGCAAGCCUGAUCCAGCCAUUCCGCGUGCAGGACGAAGGCCUUCGGUUGUAACUGCUUUUGUACGGUAACGAAAGGGCGUCUCUCUAAUACAGGGGGCAGUAUGACGGUACCGUAAGAAUAAAGCACCGGACGUAACUACCGUGCCAGCGAGACCC
rnacentral:rRNA from 1 species